rnacentral:rRNA from 1 species
CCAGACUCCUACGGGAGGCAGCAGUGGGGAAUAUUGGACAAUGGACCGAGAGUCUGAUCCAGCAAUUCUGUGUGCACGAUGAAGUUUUUCGGAAUGUAAAGUGCUUUCAGUUGGGAAGAAAGAAAUGACGGUACCAACAGAAGAAGUGACGGCUAAAUACGUGCCAGCAGCCGCGGUAAUACGUAUGUCACGAGCGUUAUCCGGAUUUAUUGGGCGUAAAGCGCGUCUAGGUGGUUAUGUAAGUCUGAUGUGAAAAUGCAGGGCUCAACUCUGUAUUGCGUUGGAAACUGUAUAACUAGAGUACUGGAGAGGUAAGCGGAACUACAAGUGUAGAGGUGAAAUUCGUAGAUAUUUGUAGGAAUGCCGAUGGGGAAGCCAGCUUACUGGACAGAUACUGACGCUAAAGCGCGAAAGCGUGGGUAGCAAACAGGAUUAGAUACCCUGGUAGUCCACGCUGUAAACGAUGAUUACUAGGUGUUGGGGGUCGAACCUCAGCGCCCAAGCAAACGCGAUAAGUAAUCCGCCUGGGGAGUACGUACGCAAGUAUGAACUCAAAGGAAUUGACGGGGGCCCGCACAAG